AUUUCUUUGUGGUGAACGUCGGUUGAACAAGAGUAAACACAAUCGCCCUAUCCUUCCGGUUACACACUCAGUAUUAUAAUGUAUA